rnacentral:rRNA from 1 species
UACGGAGGGUGCGAGCGUUGUCCGGAAUCACUGGGCGUAAAGGGCGCGUAGGCGGCGCGAGCAGUCGGUCGUGAAAGUCCGGAGCUCAACUCCGGAUCGGCGGUCGAUACUCUCGUGCUUGAGCACUGUAGAGGCAGGUGGAAUUCCGGGUGUAGCGGUGGAAUGCGUAGAGAUCCGGAAGAACACCGGUGGCGAAGGCGGCCUGCUGGGCAGUAGCUGACGCUGAUGCGCGACAGCGUGGGGAGCGAACAGG